GAUGAAGAACGUAGUGAACUGCGAUAAGUAAUGUGAAUUGCAGAAUUCAGUGAAUCAUCGAGUCUUUGAACGCACAUUGCGCCCCCUGGCAUUCCGGGGGGCAUGCCUGUCCGAGCGUCAUUGCUGCCCUUCAAGCCCGGCUUGUGUGUUGGGUCGUCGUCCCCCCCGGGGGACGGGCCCGAAAGGCAGCGGCGGCACCGCGUCCGGUCCUCGAGCGUAUGGGGCUUUGUCACCCGCUCGAUUAGGGCCGGCCGGGCGCCAGCCGGCGUCUCCAACCUUCUAUUUUACCAGGUUGACCUCGGAUCAGGUAGGGAUACCCGCUGAACUUAAGCAUAUCAAUAAGCGGAGGA
rnacentral:misc_RNA from 1 species